GGAUGCAAUGAGAUAGAUUACUGUGCAUCUUCUCCCUGGCUCCCAAUCUAGGCUUGCAGCAGAGAAUUGCUGGGAACCAUUUCCUAUUACAGUUGAUUUCUGCAAGGACAUUUUUCAUAUUAAAAUCUCCAAACAUCUAUUUUUUCAUAUCAAAAUCUCCAAACAUCUACUGUACAGACGACUCAUGUGAACAAAAGUGACAUGCGACCAUUUAACCAUCAGCCUAUUUUACAGGUUAAAUUCCAGGAGAACAUGGGGCCAAUUUUUGGGGACAACACCUGAAAAAGAAAGGAAUUUCAAAACUUGAGUGUUUCAUUAGAAAGAGGAAGUCAGUUGGGCAAGCCACAGGUGAUCUAAACAAAUUGAUGGGAGUGAAAAAGUACUCAUCGUAAUUAUUGUAUCAAAGAAAAUCUCUUUAUUAUCAAAAAUGAGGACAGUGUGCUUGGGGACAAAUUUGGCUACUUGCCAUAUCAGCUGCAGCUUGGAAACAUAAUUAACAACUGUGUAUGGAAAUAAUUAAUCUUGUGCUCUUGGGGAAAAUUUAUAGUGAAAUGUUGUUUUUCAGAACAGACAACUGAGGAUUAUGUUGUGGAAUUUGGACAUCUGUAAACAUUGGUUGGGAGGGAGAAACUUCUAGGUUAGCAGUAUCAUGAAUCCGGUUUGCAUAUUUCUUGGGUGUCUUCUUGGACAAGAGAUGGACAGAUGUAUUCUAGCAACACACAUCCAAACACCAUGAAAGAACUCCGUACUAAAAAGCAAAACAGGCCAGGCACGGUGGCUUACACCUCUAAUCUCAGCACUUUGGGAAGCCGAGGCGUGUGGAUCACAAGGUCAGGAGUUCAAGAUCAGCCUGGCCAAGAUGGUGAAAUCCCGUCUCUACUAAAAAUACAAAAAUUAGCUGGGCAUGGUAGCUGGCACUUGUAAUCCCAGCUAUUCAGGAGGCUGAGGCAGAGAAUUGCUUGAACCCCGGAGGUGGAGGUUGCUGUGAGCUGAGAUCGUACCACUGCACUCAGCUUGGGCAAAAGAGCAAGACUCUGUCUCAAAAAAAAAAAAAAAAAAA
rnacentral:lncRNA from 1 species